rnacentral:rRNA from 1 species
CAUUAUCGAGUUUUGACUGGGUUGUAGCUGGCCUUCCGAGGCAUGUGCACGCCCUGCUCAUCCACUCUACACCUGUGCACUUACUGUGGGUUUCAGACGGCGUAGCGAGCCUUUACGGGUUCGUGAAAGCGUCUGUGCCUGCGUUUAUUACAAACUCUUACAAGUAAAUGAAUGUGUAUUGCGAUAUAACGCAUCUAUAUACAACUUUCAGCAACGGAUCUCUUGGCUCUCGCAUCGAUGAAGAACGCAGCGAAAUGCGAUAAGUAAUGUGAAUUGCAGAAUUCAGUGAAUCAUCGAAUCUUUGAACGCACCUUGCGCUCCUUGGUAUUCCGAGGAGCAUGCCUGUUUGAGUGUCAUGAAAUCUUCAACCUAUAAACCUUUGCGGGUUUGUAGGCUUGGACUUGGAGGCUUGUCGGCCUAACGGUCGGCUCCUCUUAAAUGUAUUAGCUUGAUUCCUUGCGGAUCGGCUCUCGGUGUGAUAAUUGUCUACGCCGCGACCGUGAAGCGUUUGGCGAGCUUCUAAUCGUCUCUUAUGAGACAACACAUUGACCUCUGACCUCAAAUCAGGUAGGACUACCCGCUGAACUUAAGCAUAUCAAUAAGCGGAGGAAAAGAAACUAACAAGGAUUCCCCUAGUAACUGCGAGUGAAGCGGGAAAAGCUCAAAUUUAAAAUCUGGCGGUCUUUGGCCGUCCGAGUUGUAGUCUGGAGAAGUGCUUUCCGCGCUGGACCGUG